GUCUCCUGGCUUGGGCCAGUAGGUACGUGUUGUUGGACGCAUUGCCGUCAUGGCCGUUGCACCGCCGUCAUUCUCGCUUUGUCAUCCGACACUCGCCAUGCCCUCGUCUUCACGCCGUUGUCGUCGUUCAGUAGUCAGGCAUUCGUUGUCAGGCCGUGUUCGCGAUGCCGUCAUCGUCGUUCUAAUCGAACAUUGUUAUCCCCACUCUCAACAGCCGUCGCCGUCACAAAGUCGUCAUACCGUUGCUUUCGUAUCGUAGUCGCCAGGCUGUCGUUUUACCGCGUUCGUAACUUCAGGAUUGUCAUACCAGCGUCGCUGUGCCGUCAUCGACAUAUGGCUUUCGUCGUUCCAUCGACGUCAUUUCUUUUCAUUAAUACUAGCGUAAUCACGCUGCCGUCAUUCUAUUGUUAAUAUACCGCUUGCCAUCGACGCCACACCGUGUGCGGCUGCCAUUGUUGCCACACACAUUCCUCGGGAUGCCGUCGGGCUUGUUUUAUCGCCUUCACUUCAGCUUCAUCGUACGGCUAUCAUUUGCCAUCGUAGUCUCGCGCCAUCGUCGUCGUGCACUCGUCGUGAUCUCAUUCUCCUCUAACCAUUUUCAUGACAUUGUUGUCAUUGCGUCCGUCAUCAAGCGUUCGUUGGCAUACCCUCGCCGUCCAGCCGUCAUCAUCACGCUGUUCUUGUGGUUCCGUCUUCGUCAUUCCUUAUCCGCCAUUCUAGCGUAAUCACGCUAUCGUCAUUCAAUCGUGAAUGCGCCGUCGUUGUCAAGCCAUUGAAAUCAUUGCGUAGCCGCCAUAAAGCCUCCGUCAGGCAUUCGUUGUCAUAUCGUUUUCGUUGUUCCGUCACGGGGCCACCGUUCUCGUCAUUCCAGCAUCAUCAUCCUCCUGUCGUCAUACACUUGCAGCAAUUCGGUGUCCUCAUGCCCUACUUGCCAUGCUGUCGUCGUUAUACCACUGUAAUCACUUCGAAAUCGCCGUUUCAUUGUCCUCACGCCACUUUCGUCGUGCUUGCAUAAUCGAAGUCAUUCCGUCUUCAUUCCAUCGUUGUCACUGUAGCCUGCACUUCGCUAUAUUCUUCAUGUGUUCGCGCUUUGAGCGCUUGUGCUUAUACGGGAUGGAAAAUUCCGUUCUCUACGCUUGAGUUACCGCCAGUUGCUCGAUCUCGAAGUUUGUAGACAACGUGCUCUUACGAAUGUGUGCUUCAUUUUUUGCGCACCGUUUUCGAAGAGGCAGGUGAGGCCAACGCCGGGAUAUCUGACCAAAGUGCAGGAACACGAAUAACGAGAAUAGAUAGAACAGCAUUGGUGAUAGGUACGCGAGGAAGGUCAAGUAGAUGUGAAAUCUACGUCAUCGUAGCUGCAUUUCAGCUGACUUGCGACAACUAAAGCCGGAUAAGAACCCCAGAAAGCAGCCGCCCCGUUUAACCAGUGCGAAAGAACGUAGUCGAAAGAACCAGUGCGAAAGAACGUAGUCGAGCUGCCACCAUGCACGACCAGGGAACGAGUGUGGUGCACGUGUUGAGCGGGCAUGCCGUCACCGGCGUGAACUGGAGACCAACUUGGUUUGCCGAAGACGUGCCACAUUCGCGCAUCUGUGGCCUCUGCCACAUGGUACCCGAGAGGACGGUGCUGUUGCCGUGCUCGCACUUUCUGUGCGAUGCCUGUAGCGCGGCGACCGAUCAAGAUGGUCGCUGCGUGUGCCCCUUGGAUAUGAAGACGUUCGAAGAGGACGAGUGCUCGUGGAUUGACUUCCCUGCCAGGAGAGCGAUAAAUUUGAAGGCACACUGCUGGAAUAGGGCUGAUGGCUGCGACUUCGUAGGUACAAUCAAAGCUGUAUUGCAACACUACGAGACAGAAUGUGCCCACCAUGCCCUCAAGUGUCCGCGGUGCGAACGAAGGAUACUGCACCGAGACCUCGGGGCACAUUACGUGGCGGGGUGCUCUCGAAGUGAUCCCUCUGCAAGUGGUGCACAGCCUAACCUGCAGAAAAGUUCAUUGACCAUUCGUGAUGCGAGUGCCACGCUGGAGGAAAUCAAGUCCUUGAGAGCAUUCUGUCACGACCAGCUGUCUGCUCUUCAGAUAAAAGUUAACGGGCUCUUGGAACUAUCCAAAACCUGGGAUGCAGCGCGAUAUCCGGAUAUCAACCGUGUGGUCAGGGAUUUAGAAAACUGCUUGGCAUGCAAGUUGUAAGGAAUAGAGGCCCAAAUCACCCCUAUGUUCACGCGUCAACUGAAUGACGGUCUGAAUAAACAAAAGGCAUUUCUCAGAGAACCAGGGAUUGAUCACGUGCCUACUGCUCAGACUGAAAUUAACAAACUCGCUGAAGAAUCAAGGGCUCGCGAAACCGCCUACUUAGAGAAAACCACUGGUGUCCUUAGAGACUCUGAAACUAAAUCGAAGGCAGAAGUGAACAAAGUUAGGGCGAAUCUUUCUGCGACUCUCACGCAGCAACAUCGGUCUCUGCAAAGAGCAGUUGAUUCUUUGCCGCGGAAAUGCGUAUCUCCAGAGAAUGAAGAGGCCGCUGUUGUAACCGCUUCAGGGGAAUGGAAGGUUCCGUGGCACUUGGGAAAAGAAGCUAAUUCUGCUAAAAUUGGAAGUCUUCGCUCACGCAUUCAUGAGCACUCUAGAAUUAUUUCGCCAAGAAAACCAGCCACAGGCAGAUCGACUAUUCGUUUGGGAUCAUUCACGCGAUCUCUCGGUUGAGGCGGUGCCCUAUCAUGUCUCAUGGCAAAUCAUAGGUACAUCCACUGUCUACUAUAUAACUGUGAAAAAAGCUGAUAAACUAUUCAACUCUAAGGCCGCAUUUUUUGCCGGGUGUAUUAACUGGCUGAGUAGGGAUAUCUGCUUCAAGGUAUUCAAUUCCGCGUGCAGGCUGUUUUCACCAAGUUUAUAUGUGGAAGUGCGCUACAUCUGUAUGUCGGGGUCUUCUCACAUUUCCUGGGACGAUUUCUCGCUGAUAGCACUAAACAGCAAUCCACACGAUAACCUUUUCAUCAAUAAAGCAACGCCGCACGAUUACCACUAUAA